UAAGCAUAGUCCGAGUAAUCGCUUGUAGCAAUAUAAGAGGAAAGUCCGGACUCCAAUGGGCAAAGUGCCAGGUAACGCCUGGGGAGUGCAAGCUCACGACAAGUGCAACAGAAAGCAAACCGCCUUGUAAAAGGUAAGGGUGAAACGGUGAGGUAAGAGCUCACCAGACAGUCAGUAAUGAUUGUGCUAGGUAAACUCCACUUGGAGCAAGAUCAAAUAGGUGUUCAUAUAGCUUGCCCAUAGCUGAACACGGGUAGAUCGCUUGAAGCUAACAGUGAUGUUAGUUCUAGAUAAAUGAUUACAUAAAACAGAAUCCGGCUUACGGGACAGCUUAGAAC
rnacentral:RNase_P_RNA from 1 species